rnacentral:rRNA from 1 species
AUUGAACGCUGGCGGCAGGUCUAACACAUGCAAGUCGAGCGAGCGGCGGACGGGUGAGUAAUGUAUGGGGACUGCCCGAUAGAGGGGGAUAACUACUGUAAACGGUAGCUAAUACCGCAUACUAUCGGAUAACCCAUAUGGGAUUAGCUCGUAGGUGAGGUAAUGGCUCACCUAGGCGACGAUCCCUAGCUGGUCUGAGAGGAUGAUCAGCCACACGGGGACUGAGACACGGCCCAGACUCCUACGGAGGCAGCAGUGGGGAAUAUGGCACAAUGGGCGCAAGCCUGAUGCAGCCAUGCCGCGUGUAUGAAGAAGGCCCUAGGGUGGUAAAGGACGUUCAGUCGGGAGGCGUUACCGACAGAAGAAGCACCGGCUAACUCCGUGCCAGCCGCCGCGGUAAUUC